rnacentral:lncRNA from 10 species
GGGGCUUGCUGCGCGCGAGAGGAGUGGGCGAGGCGGUGCAGGCUGCAGUCGCGGAGCCAAGAGACCACUUACAGAUGAAAACGCAAGGGCGGGACGAGCGGAGAGGCUGGACCUGCUACCUAUGCUUGAGGGGCGGAGCCUAGCGCGCCGUCGCGAGGAGGGAGGUGCUGCCCCGUUCCCCCUACCCCCUUCCCCCAAAGCGACACCAACUGAGCACUCGAACCGUAGACCCAGUAGCCCCACAGAGCUGCGGAACUCGGGGUGGGUGAAGCCGACUUAAAACAUGCAAUAAGUCCUGGAUUGCGAGUCCCGGAAGGUAGGGCCGAUAGGGCCCGGACGGAGAAAGCUCAAGGUCACUGCGGUGACCGAAUGAAGGUCACUGCGGUGACCGAAUGAAGGUCACGGGGAAGGGCGGGGCCACGUGCGUCCGCCUCACGCGGGCUGUCCUGCACUGACUCACGGACCAUGCAUCGACUCUUUUAUUUCUUUAGGACUCAAAUUCCACUCGGAUGGGGUCAGGCUUGGGUCUGGGGACCGGGCUGGCACGGGGCUGGUUCGGGUCGCUGCUCGAGCCCAAGGUGGCGUUUUUAAUUCACGUACAGCCUCUUGCUCCGGCGCUUCUUGAGCCCUUCGAUGUAUCGCUGCAGCUCCUUAGUCAGGAAGUGGUCCCUGCCGAUCCCUAACUGGUAGCCUAGGAGGAGGGCAGAGCUCGGCUCAGGGCAGUGAGCAACCGAAAGGUCUCCCCACCAGGGGGCGCCGCAUGUGUGAUUCGAGGAACCGCAGAUGAUUCGAGGUAGCAGUAGCGCAGGGCACUCAGGUCUGUGUUAGCCUGGGGAACUUUGCAUCUCUAAGGGUGCUGAGUGUUAAGGUGGAGGAUGGAUGAGGUCAAGGCUAGGGAAGAGGUUGCAGGCCUGAACUAGGGCGGUGGUAGCGAGCAGUUUGCCCACCUUCUGGACCAGCCACCCACUCUAAGCCAUCAGCUGGCCCUUUAUCACCGCUGGGCUUUCCUACCACAGCAGCAAAAGUUCACCCACAUAAUCCACUGUCCAAAGGCUCCUCACAACUCCCCAACCAGAGGCAGUCGAGGCCACACCAAGGCGGUCAUCCCACUGUGCAGGUGGAGAAACAGCCACAGAAAAGCCUCCCUCAGCUGGAGAGGGGCUGCACUCAGCCUGGAGCCCAGGCCUCUGCCCAUCACCACAUGUCCCCCACUGGGUCUUCCUGUGCCCAGUCCCUCAGCUUUUAACUUUUAUGGGGCCCUUGGAAUACUUGUGAGUGCCAAGGGCAUCUGACAAGACAUAAGGCACCCUGAAACCCCACCCCCCUGGGCCCCAGCCCUGCAAAAUCCACCAGAAUCUGUCGUGGGAGUUCUUGGGGGUUGGCGGGGAGCUUACUCCGGAGGGCUUUGGUGAGGAUUUCCAGAGCUUCAUUCUCCAUGAGUUCCAUCAGGGGCAGUGGCAGCUGGAGAAGCAGCAAGAGGCUUAGGCGUCCAGGUACUUCAUCUCUGCCCACAGCUGAAAUGCCCCCACCUCCUCCCUGUGGCCCCCAAACCCCCAACCAGCCUGCCUGCCCCUCCACCCUGCCAACCACCCCCAACUUUCAUAUCCUAUCAACCCCCAAUUUGCCUAUCCCCUACCCCACCGAAACGCCCAGUCUCCCCAGCCCCUCCAACCCUGCUCUGCUGCUCUGCCCAGUAGGCUCGAUGGGGCAUGUGCUUCGCAAUAUUGAGUGAUGACAUUGAGGAAGACUUUUCUGGGAGAAGAGAAAAAAGGGUUAGUCAUCCGCAGACUCCUGGGCCUUCCCUGGAGCACAGGAGAUGGGUAGGCACCUUGUGAGAGGGAAUGGCCUUCAGAGACCAGCUCCUGGUGCAGCCUUGGGGUCAGCAUGGGACAGAGGUUACAACCCUGGGCUUUAGAGCCCCACCCACAUGGUUCCAGUAAUGACUGCCCCACAGUGUGACACUUAGGACCAGUGACUGACACUCUCUGACCCUCAAGUUCUUCAUCAGUAAAAUGGGGUAAUAAGAACAGCUCUUGGCCGGGCACGGUGGCUCAUGCCUGUAAUCCUAGCACUUUGGGAGGCCAAUGUGGGCGGAUCACAAGGUCAGGAGUUCGAGACCAACCUGGCCAACAUGGUGAAACCCCCGUCUCUACUAAAAAUACAAAAAUUAGCCGGGCUUGCUGGCAAGUGCCUGUAAUCCCAGCUACUCGGGAGGCUGAGGCAGGAGAAUCACUUGAACCAGGGAGGCGGAGCUUGCACUGAGCCGAGAUCGUACAUCUGCACUCCAGCCUGGGUGAAGAAGUGAGACUCUGUCUCAAAAAAAAACUAAAAAAAAAAAAAAAAAAAAGAACAGCUCUUGGCUCUUGGCCAAGUGGUGGCUCACGCCUGUAAUCCAGGCACUUCGGGAGGCCAAGGUGGGCAGAUCACAAGAUCAGGAGUUCAAGACCAGCCUGGCCAAUAUGGUGAAACACCGUCUCUACUAAAAAUACAAAAAUUAGCCAGGCAUAGUGGCAGGCACCUGUAAUCCCAGCUACUCAGGAGGCUGAGGCAGGAGAAUUGCUUGAACCGGGGAGGCGGAAGUUGCAGUGAGCCAAGAUCGCACCAUUGCACUCCAGCAUGGGCAACAGAGUGAGAAUCUGACUCAAAAAUAAAUAGCCGAGCGCGGUUGGCUCACGCCUGUAAUCCCAGCACUUUGGGAGGCCGAGGUGGGCGGAUCACGAGGUCAGGAGAUUGAGACCAUCCUGGCUAACAAGGUGAAACGCUGUCUCUACUAAAAAUACAAAAAAUUAGCCGGGCGUGCUGGCAGGCGCCUGUAGUCCCAGCCACUCCAGAGGCUGAGGCAGGAGAAUGGUGUGAACCUGGGAGGCAGAGCUUGCAGUGAGCCGAGAUGGCACCACUGCACUCCAGCCUGGGCGACAGAGUGAGACCCCGUCUCAAAAAAUAUAAUAAAAAUAAAUAAAUAAAAAAUAAAUAGCUCUUUAUGGAGGUUGUGAAGUUUGAAGGUGACAAUCCAGGGGAAGCCCCGUGCCUGGCACACAGCAAGUGCUCAAUAUGUAACCAUUGUUAUACUGUUAUUGGUUCUUACUCUCUGAUGAAGUAGUUUGAGGGGGUGCCAGACAGUGCCCAGCACGUAGUAGGGGCUUAGAAAUUGUAACCAGCAACUGACUAAUGGAAAGACGUACACCUCCUCAACCAGCGCAAAUCAUAAGACAAGGAGUUAACUCUUGCAACUGGUGGGAUGAUUCCAUUAAAAACACAGGUCUCGCCGGGCAUGGUGGCUCACACUUGUAAUCCCAAUACUUUGGGAAGCCGAAGCAGGAGGAUCACUUGAGCCCAGGAGUUUGAGACCAGCUGGGGCAACAUGUCGAAAUUUUCUCUACAA